CCUAGCAGGUGAGACUGGCCAAUGAGAAACAAAUAAAAGCUUAAGCGAACUUCCAGAAAAGCUGAGUCCGCCUCCCUCUUUCCUGUCUCUUGUUCCCUGGAACAUGCAUGUGGCAGCUGGAGCUGCAGUGUCUGCCAGAAAUGUGGACGUGUAUAGAAAAGUCGAAAUCAGCCAAAUUCCUACAAAGGACCAGAAUGAAACUGUCAAGAAGCUUAAAAUAAAAAUUUCGCUCACGUUCAGCUUGUGGACAAGACCUCACGGCGUGUGUUUUAUGGGCUCAACUCACCCAUGACGUCAUCUUAUUUUUCCCCCAUCCUUCUUUCACUUUCACUUUCUUCUCAUUUCUCUAUUUUUUUGUGUAUAAAUGAAUGAUGUGAUAUGUACCUACGCAAUAUGUAUAUCAUGGCAUAUUGUGUCUAUUUUACAAGCCUUCCAAAUACCUUUGAAAUAGGAAUGUAUAUAAAAAAUACAGUUAGGUAUUUUUCAUUUCUCUGAAGACUUGAGGUCACUUGCAUAGUCCUUUUGUUUUCUUUGUUUUCUUUUUUGG